rnacentral:ribozyme from 15 species
AAAAAAAAAAAAAAAAAAAAAAAAAAGAGAAAAAGGUCGU